rnacentral:rRNA from 1 species
UACGGGGGGGGCAAGCGUUGUUCGGAAUUACUGGGCGUAAAGGGUUCGUAGGUGGCUUGCUAAGUCAGACGUGAAAUCCCUCAGCUUAACUGGGGAACUGCGUCUGAUACUGGCGAGCUUGAGUGCAGGAGAGGAACGCGGAAUUCCAGGUGUAGCGGUGAAAUGCGUAGAUAUCCGGAGGAACACCGGUGGCGAAGGCGGCUUCCUGGACCGAUCACUGACGCUGAGGCGCGAAAGCUAGGGGAGCGAACAGG